rnacentral:rRNA from 1 species
CCUACGGGAGGCAGCAGUGAGGAAUAUUGGUCAAUGGACGGAAGUCUGAACCAGCCAUGCCGCGUGCAGGAAGACGGCUCUAUGAGUUGUAAACUGCUUUUGUACAAGGGUAAACCUGAAUACGUGCAUUCAGCUGAAAGUACUGUACGAAUAAGGAUCGGCUAACUCCGUGCCAGCAGCCGCGGUAAUACGGAGGAUCCAAGCGUUAUCCGGAUUUAUUGGGUUUAAAGGGUGCGUAGGCGGAUUGAUAAGUUAGAGGUGAAAUGUCCGGGCUUACCUCGGUAACUGCCUCUAAUACUGUUGAUCUAGGGAGUAGAUGCGGUAGGCGGAAUGUAUGGUGGAGCGGGGAAAUGCUUAGAGAUCAUACAGAACACCGAUUGCGAAGGCAGCUUACCAAUCUAUAUCUGACGUUGAGGCACGAAAGCGUGGGGAGCAAACAGGAUUAGAUACCCCUGUAGUC